GGGCCCGCACAAGCGGUGGAGCAUGUGGUUUAAUUCGAUGAUACGCGAGGAACCUUACCAGGGCUUAAAUGUAGUGGGACAGGUCUAGAGAUAGACCCUUCUUCGGACUCAUUACAAGGUGCUGCAUGGUUGUCGUCAGCUCGUGCCGUGAGGUGUCAGGUUAAGUCCUAUAACGAGCGCAACCCCUAUCGUUAGUUGCCAGCACAUAAUGGUGGGAACUCUAAGGAGACUGCCGGUGACAAACCGGAGGAAGGUGGGGAUGACGUCAAAUCAUCACGGCCCUUACGUCCUGGCCACACACGUGCUACAAUGGCCGGUACAGAGAGCAGCCACUACGCGAGUAGGAGCGAAUCUUCAAAACCGGUCUCAGUUCGGAUCGCAGUCUGCAACUCGACUGCGUGAAGCUGGAAUCGCUAGUAAUCG
rnacentral:rRNA from 1 species